rnacentral:rRNA from 1 species
AUUGAACGCUGGCGGCAGGCCUAACACAUGCAAGUCGAGCGGAUGAAGAGAGCUUGCUCUCUGAUUUAGCGGCGGACGGGUGAGUAAUGCCUAGGAAUCUGCCUGGUAGUGGGGGAUAACGUCCGGAAACGGGCGCUAAUACCGCAUACGUCCUACGGGAGAAAGCAGGGGACCUUCGGGCCUUGCGCUAUCAGAAGAGCCUGGGUCGGAUUAGCUAGUUGGUGAGGUAAUGGCUCACCAAGGCGACGAUCCGUAACUGGUCUGAGAGGAUGAUCAGUCACACUGGAACUGAGACACGGUCCAGACUCCUACGGGAGGCAGCAGUAGGGAAUAUUGGACAAUGGGCGAAAGCCUGAUCCAGCCAUGCCGCGUGUGUGAAGAAGGUCUUCGGAUUGUAAAGCACUUUAAGUUGGGAGGAAGGGCAGUAAGUUAAUACCUUGCUGUUUUGACGUUACCGACAGAAUAAGCACCGGCUAACUUCGUGCCAGCAGCCGCCGUAACAC